rnacentral:lncRNA from 1 species
GAUCUCCUUCCAUCCCCGCCAUCCGCAUCCCCAAUGGAAAUAACAUCAACAAAACCAGCCCCUUUUGGUCACGCCACAAUCUCCACUCGUCACUGUCAAAUUACGACAGAUUCAUGAUGAAUCCGUCUAGGUUGGUACCCUCAUUUAAUCUCGUGUCUCAAAUUAACAUUAUCAUCUUUAACAGUUUAUUAAUUUUUGAAUUAGUGACAUUCAAUUAUGGUUUUAUGAUUCGAUUCUUUUAGUUUCAUGUUUGUUUGUAAUGCUAAAACCUCCAAAAUUCAUGAGGCUUAACUUUAACUUCAAAUUUUUAGUUAGGUU